rnacentral:rRNA from 1 species
AUGUUCUCCGCUGUUCGAUCCCGAGCCCUCGGCCGAUGGCGCCCGCCGCCGCACCUUCUUCCGCGCCUCCUCUCCUCCGCCGGCGCCUCGUCGGCUCGGCCGGCGGAGCUUAUCGAGCUCUCGGAGGUGGAGAAGGUGCUGCACGACGUCCGGGCGGGGGACGUGCGCGUGUUCCCCGUCGGUGAGGGCGGGCUCCACGGCGGCGCUUGUGCGGACUACAUGGUCGUCGCCACCGGCCGCUCCGACUGGCACGUCCGCAACAUCGCACAGGCCAUACUCUACAAGAUAAAGCAGAAACAGAAGGGCUCUAAUCGAAUAUUGAUGCCGAGUGUAGAAGGCCAGCAAGCUGGAAAGUGGGUUGUCAUUGAUUCUGGAAGUAUCAUCAUCCACGCGCUUGAAGAAAGAGCAAGAGAGUACUAUGAUUUGGAAAGUAUUUGGACAAAGGCGGUGUCCCCUAACAUUUCUGUUCAGGAGUUGGAGACCUCACUUGUGAAGACGCGCCGCAGGGACCUGUCGCAGAAACCCAUGAAGAGCAUUUGA